rnacentral:rRNA from 1 species
CCUACGGGAGGCAGCAGUGGGGAAUUUUGGACAAUGGGGGCAACCCUGAUCCAGCCAUUCCGCGUGAGUGAAGAAGGCCUUCGGGUUGUAAAGCUCUUUCGCAAGGGAAGAAAGCUUAUGAUCGAAUAAAUCAUGAGGUUGACGGUACCUUGAUAAGAAGCACCGGCUAACUACGUGCCAGCAGCCGCGGUAAUACGUAGGGUGCGAGCGUUAAUCGGAAUUACUGGGCGUAAAGCGUGCGCAGGCGGUUUUGUAAGUCGGAUGUGAAAUCCCCGGGCUCAACCUGGGAACUGCGUUCGAAACUGCAAGGCUAGAGUGUGUCAGAGGGGGGUAGAAUUCCACGUGUAGCAGUGAAAUGCGUAGAGAUGUGGAGGAAUACCAAUGGCGAAGGCAGCCCCCUGGGAUAACACUGACGCUCAUGCACGAAAGCGUGGGGAGCAAACAGGAUUAGAUACCCUGGUAGUCCACGCCCUAAACGAUGUCAACUAGUUGUUGGUAGAGUAAAAUCUAUGAGUAACGUAGCUAACGCGUGAAGUUGACCGCCUGGGGAGUACGGUCGCAAGAUUAAAACUUAAGGAAUUGACGG